rfam:Astyanax mexicanus chromosome 1, whole genome shotgun sequence.
UACAAUUUUUUUUGUAAAUCGCUUUGGAUAAAAGUGUCUGCUAAAUGUAAUGUA